rnacentral:rRNA from 1 species
UUGUGAACUGCAGGACACAUGAACAUUGAUAAGUUKGACGCAUAUUGCACGUCGUGGGACCUACCAUGAUGUACACAUAACUGAGUGCUUAUAUUUAUAAAUGUAUCGCAUACAUUUAACUACGCCGUGGCUAACGUCACGAGACGUGCAUAAUGAUGCAAGAAUGAUGGCCCGACAGCUCGCUUGCAUUCAAGAACCGUGGUAUUAAUUACUGGCAUUGGAACUCGAAGUACAUGUAAAGGGGCGUGUUCCCGCGUGACGCGGAAGUACGAGGAGAAGGCGUGUCUAAUGUUGUGUGUGGGGGUUACUGAUGUCUUGCUUCUGCGUUAUUUAUUAAUUUAAAUAAGAGGCGGGCAUCAAAGUUUCGUCGAAGCAUCGGCUAAUGGCACAAAUGAUUCAAGUAUGGAACCGGAACAAAGGAACACAAACAAAUAUAUUAUGGAGAUUGGAAGGUAAAGGUGAUUAAAACCACACGCGGGAGAAAAACCCGUGCCGGGCCAACGGCUAAAUUGGCAGUAUAAAAAGUAGUCGCAUGCCAGUAUGUGACGAUUGACAACCGCAAGGUAAAUAAGCCUCAGUUUAUGUGUGACUACCCCCUGAAUUUAAGCAUAAA